GAACGCUGGCGGCAGGCCUAACACAUGCAAGUCGAACGGUAACAGGAAGCAGCUUGCUGCUUUGCUGACGAGUGGCGGACGGGUGAGUAAUGUCUGGGAAACUGCCUGAUGGAGGGGGAUAACUACUGGAAACGGUAGCUAAUACCGCAUAACGUCGCAAGACCAAAGAGGGGGACCUUCGGGCCUCUUGCCAUCGGAUGUGCCCAGAUGGGAUUAGCUAGUAGGUGGGGUAACGGCUCACCUAGGCGACGAUCCCUAGCUGGUCUGAGAGGAUGACCAGCCACACUGGAACUGAGACACGGUCCAGACUCCUACGGGAGGCAGCAGUGGGGAAUAUUGCACAAUGGGCGCAAGCCUGAUGCAGCCAUGCCGCGUGUAUGAAGAAGGCCUUCGGGUUGUAAAGUACUUUCAGCGGGGAGGAAGGGAGUAAAGUUAAUACCUUUGCUCAUUGACGUUACCCGCAGAAGAAGCACCGGCUAACUCCGUGCCAGCAGCCGCGGUAAUACGUAGGGUGCGAGCGUUAAUCGGAAUUACUGGGCGUAAAGCGCACGCAGGCGGUUUGUUAAGUCAGAUGUGAAAUCCCCGGGCUCAACCUGGGAACUGCAUCUGAUACUGGCAAGCUUGAGUCUCGUAGAGGGGGGUAGAAUUCCAGGUGUAGCGGUGAAAUGCGUAGAGAUCUGGAGGAAUACCGGUGGCGAAGGCGGCCCCCUGGACGAAGACUGACGCUCAGGUGCGAAAGCGUGGGGAGCAAACAGGAUUAGAUACCCUGGUAGUCCACGCCGUAAACGAUGUCGACUUGGAGGUUGUGCCCUUGAGGCGUGGCUUCCGGAGCUAACGCGUUAAGUCGACCGCCUGGGGAGUACGGCCGCAAGGUUAAAACUCAAAUGAAUUGACGGGGGCCCGCACAAGCGGUGGAGCAUGUGGUUUAAUUCGAUGCAACGCGAAGAACCUUACCUGGUCUUGACAUCCACGGAAGUUUUCAGAGAUGAGAAUGUGCCUUCGGGAACCGUGAGACAGGUGCUGCACGGCUGUCGUCAGCUCGUGUUGUGAAAUGUUGGGUUAAGUCCCGCAACGAGCGCAACCCUUAUCCUUUGUUGCCAGCGGUCCGGCCGGGAACUCAAAGGAGACUGCCAGUGAUAAACUGGAGGAAGGUGGGGAUGACGUCAAGUCAUCAUGGCCCUUACGACCAGGGCUACACACGUGCUACAAUGGCGCAUACAAAGAGAAGCGACCUCGCGAGAGCAAGCGGACCUCAUAAAGUGCGUCGUAGUCCGGAUUGGAGUCUGCAACUCGACUCCAUGAAGUCGGAAUCGCUAGUAAUCGUGGAUCAGAAUGCCACGGUGAAUACGUUCCCGGGCCUUGUACACACCGCCCGUCACACCAUGGGAGUGGGUUGCAAAAGAAGUAGGUAGCUUAACCUUCGGGAGGGCGCUUACCACUUUGUGAUUCAUGACUGGGGUGAA
rnacentral:rRNA from 1 species